rnacentral:lncRNA from 1 species
UUUACUUAUGAUUAACUGUUAAUCUUAAUUUAUUGGUUUAUUUUGAUGUAACUUUUAUUGUUGGCAUAAAUUUUGGGGUUUUAUGACGUGGAAGAAGACAUAUAGUAGUAUGCAUAUGAAUACACUCUGUUUUGAAUCAAUUUGCUUCAUUUAUACUUUUUGUUGUCUUUUAAUUUUAUAAAAAUUAAGUGCUUUUAUAUUUAUCGUAAUCAAUACUAAAGUAAGACAUUGCAUGGUUUUAAUUGCAUGUGAGUCAUUGAAGUGGAUACCUUCAUUUGUCUCUGAUUGGCUUUUUUUGGAGACAAUUAUGUUUCAGAUGAUUUUUUGUAGGCUGCUCAUCACCCGGAUGUGGCAACUACGGUUACAGUACAGAAUUAAACUUGAAUAAUGUCUCUUGCAUUCAAUCAUCAUAACCAAUGUAUUCUUUAUAACACAUUUAUAAUGUCAUCCCCAAACAAGAAAGAGUGUAUACUGAAUUCAUCAAUCACGUGAGAUCGAAUUUAUGUACAAUACGCUCUCACUGCUUCACACAACCAAAGCUUGUGCAACCAAUGUUUCACUCUGAACUCAAUGUUUCCUCAGUAGAUGGUCUUUAUAAUGAAGGAUCUUGCAUUCAGGGAUGAAGAAUCUUGCAUUCAGGGAUGAAGAAUCUAUUGGCAGACUCUACUGAUAGCAACAGCUUUGUUAUAUUGAGUGUUUUUUUUUAUAGGUGUAAGGGUAUUUAAAGUACUGAUUGAUGCAAUUAUGCGAUCAAUAUAAAGGUAUAGUGAUGACUUUGGACUGCUAUUUGGCUCGUGUAUAUUGUUUUAUCUUCGCUUUAAGUGAUCAAACAUCUUUUGACUAAAUAAGUAAAUAAUAAAUGCAUAUGCUUUAUUUAUCAAAUAAGUUAUCUUCUUGUU